GACGAACGCUGGCGGCGUGCUUAACACAUGCAAGUCGAACGGAAAGGCCCUGCUUUUGUGGGGUGCUCGAGUGGCGAACGGGUGAGUAACACGUGAGUAACCUGCCCUUGACUUUGGGAUAACUUCAGGAAACUGUGGCUAAUACCGGAUAGGAGCUCCUGCUGCAUGGUGGGGGUUGGAAAGUUUCGGCGGUUGGGGAUGGACUCGCGGCUUAUCAGCUUGUUGGUGGGGUGGUGGCUUACCAAGGCUUUGACGGGUAGCCGGCCUGAGAGGGUGACCGGCCACAGUGGGACUGAGAUACGGCCCAGACUCCUGCGGGAGACAGCAGUGGGGAAUAUUGCACAAUGGGCGGAAGCCUGAUGCAGCAACGCCGCGUGCGGGAUGACGGCCUUCGGGUUUUAAGCCGCUUUCGCCUGUGACGAAGCGUGAGUGACGGUAAUGGGUAAAGAAGCACCGGCUAACUACGUG
rnacentral:rRNA from 1 species